rnacentral:rRNA from 1 species
AGUGAGCGCUGGCGGUAGGCCUAACACAUGCAAGUCGAACGGCAGCACAGUAAGAGCUUGCUCUUACGGGUGGCGAGUGGCGGACGGGUGAGGAAUACAUCGGAAUCUACUUUUUCGUGGGGGAUAACGUAGGUAAACUUACGCUAAUACCGCAUACGACCUACGGGUGAAAGCAGGGGAUCUUCGUACCUUGCGCGAUUGAAUGAGCCGAUGUCGGAUUAGCUAGUUGGCGGGGUAAAGGCCCACCAAGGCGACGAUCCGUAGCUGGUCUGAGAGGAUGAUCAGCCACACUGGAACUGAGACACGGUCCAGACUCCUACGGGAGGCAGCAGUGGGGAAUAUUGGACAAUGGGCGCAAGCCUGAUCCAGCCAUACCGCGUGGGUGAAGAAGGCCUUCGGGUUGUAAAGCCCUUUUGUUGGGAAAGAAAAGCAGCAGGUUAAUACCCCGCUGUUCUGACGGUACCCAAAGAAUAAGCACCGGCUAACUUCGUG